rnacentral:antisense_RNA from 1 species
GGCGUUUGCAGCAGCAGGGCAUCCCGAUCCGGGAUAUCCCCCCCGAUAUGAUAAGGCAGACCGCAGUUGGCGAAGCUCACGAACUCGCCCCGCUCGAACAUCACGAUCUCCGCCUCUUCGCUCAAACGGCGGGCACGGGCGGCGGCGGACGCCCCCCCGGCCACACCAC